rnacentral:rRNA from 1 species
UGGGGAAUAUUGCGCAAUGGAGGAAACUCUGACGCAGCAACGCCGCGUGAGUGAAGAAGGUUUUCGGAUCGUAAAGCUCUGUCUUUGGGGACGAACAAAAUGACGGUACCCAAGGAGGAAGCCCCGGCUAACUACGUGCCAGCAGCCGCGGUAAUACGUAGGGGGCAAGCGUUAUCCGGAUUUAUUGGGCGUAAAGCGUGCGUAGGCGGUUUAUUAGGUCAGGCGUAAAAGAUCACAGCUCAACUGUGUAGGGCGCUUGAAACCGGUAGACUUGAAUACGGUAGAGGCAGGUGGAAUUCCAUGUGUAGCGGUGGAAUGCGUAGAUAUAUGGAGGAACACCAAUGGCGAAGGCAGCCUGCUGGGCCGGAAUUGACGCUGAGGCACGAAAGCGUGGGGAGCAAACA